rnacentral:rRNA from 1 species
GAUGAACGCUGGCGGCGUGCCUAAUACAUGCAAGUCGAGCCAACAGACGAGGAGCUUGCUCCUCUGACGUUAGCGGCGGACGGGUGAGUAACACGUGGAUAACCUACCUAUAAGACUGGGAUAACUUCGGGAAACCGGAGCUAAUACCGGAUAAUAUAUUGAACCGCAUGGUUCAAUAGUGAAAGACGGUUUUGCUGUCACUUAUAGAUGGAUCCGCGCCGCAUUAGCUAGUUGGUAAGGUAACGGCUUACCAAGGCAACGAUGCGUAGCCGACCUGAGAGAGUGCUCGGCCACACUGGAACUGAGACACGGUCCAGACUCCUACGGGAGGCAGCAGUAGGGAAUCUUCCGCAAUGGGCGAAAGCCUGACGGAGCAACGCCGCGUGAGGUAUGAAGGUCUUCGGAUCGUAAAACUCUGUUAUUAGGGAAGAACAAAUGUGUAAGUAACUAUGCACAUCUUGACGGUACCUAAUCAGAAAGCCACGGCUAACUACGUG